GACGAACGCUGGCGGCGUGCUUAACACAUGCAAGUCGAACGGUAAGGCCCUUCGGGGUACACGAGUGGCGAACGGGUGAGUAACACGUGGGUGAUCUGCCCUGCACUUCGGGAUAAGCCUGGGAAACUGGGUCUAAUACCGGAUAGGACCACUGCCUGCAUGGGUGGUGGUGGAAAGCUUUUGCGGUGUGGGAUGGGCCCGCGGCCUAUCAGCUUGUUGGUGGGGUGAUGGCCUGCCAAGGCGACGACGGGUAGCCGGCCUGGGAGGGUGGCCGGCCACACUGGGACUGAGAUACGGCCCAGACUCCUACGGGAGGCAGCAGUGGGGAAUAUUGCACAAUGGGCGCAAGCCUGAUGCAGCGACGCCGCGUGAGGGAUGACGGCCUUCGGGUUGUAAACCUCUUUCAGCACCGACGAAGCGCAAGUGACGGUAGGUGCAGAAGAAGGACCGGCCAACUACGUGCCAGCCGCCGCAGUAA
rnacentral:rRNA from 1 species